rnacentral:rRNA from 1 species
ACGAGUUAUCUGAACCUUCGGGGAACGAUAACGGCGUCGAGCGGCGGACGGGUGAGUAAUGCCUAGGAAAUUGCCCUGAUGUGGGGGAUAACCAUUGGAAACGAUGGCUAAUACCGCAUGAUGCCUAUGGGCCAAAGAGGGGGACCUUCGGGCCUCUCGCGUCAGGAUAUGCCUAGGUGGGAUUAGCUAGUUGGUGAGGUAAGGGCUCACCAAGGCGACGAUCCCUAGCUGGUCUGAGAGGAUGAUCAGCCACA